GACCUACCCAAAUCGAACCGAAAGCCCACAAAGGUAAUUAGGUAAGAGAUGGUCACUCAAGGUCGGACACGGAAUGUAGAGAGAAAACUUUCAAACUAUAAAAUUGGGUUCACUGAUAAGGGCUAUUAGCUCAGGUGGUUAGAGCGCACCCCUGAUAAGGGUGAGGUCCCUGGUUCGAGUCCAGGAUGGCCCAUCUAACACACAGAGUGAAGGCUCGAUGUGGAGAGAAAUGGAAUUCAGCACCGAAACAGUGAAUAACUGUGCGAAUGCUGGAUACUCCAGCCAGAACCUUGAAAACUGCAUAUUCACGCAAAAUAGCAGGCAGUUGACACUGAGAAAUCAGUGAAAAUUGCACAGACACUAAUGAUGAGU
rnacentral:tRNA from 1 species